GUCUGCAGUCAUAUCAUGUUGAAUGCAUCUAAACUUGUCUGCUCUGGGAAGCUAAGCAGGGUUGGGAUCCCAGUUAGUAUAUGACUGGAAGACCACCUGGAAAUGUUGGAUGCCCCUCCACACC
ensembl:rRNA 5S_rRNA 5S ribosomal RNA